ACAUCCGCACCGAGUCGUCUUCGCGUCACCUGCCACGCCGGAGACUGAGAGCCUGCAGCGAUGGCGACCAACCACCUCCUCCUCCUCCUCGCCGCCGUGGCGUUCCUCCUCCUCCCUUCCACCACCGCCGCCGAGUACUGCUGCGAUAGGGGGCGGGAGUGCGGGACUACCCGGUGAAAGUGAGCGGCGUCGAGGUCGUCCGGGGCGAGCCCGCAACCUUCAAGAUCUCCGCCUCCACGGGGUUCUUACACUAUCACCAUGAAGCUGCUGGGGGACGGCAACUAGGAGCUGACCUGCAUCUCGUUCGGGUUCAGCAUCGGGUUCGUUCCACCUGUUGCCAUCAGCUAAACUCAACCGGAGCAGCAAAAAACACGCCGGGGAUGCAUUUACUGAAUCCUACUGAUAGUCAGUAACUAUCAAUAUCGGU